CAGCAGCCGCGGGAAUACGUAGGGUGCAAGCGUUAUCCGGAAUUAUUGGGCGUAAAGAGCUCGUAGGCGGUUUGUCACGUCUGCUGUGAAAACGCGAGGCUCAACCUCGCGCCUGCAGUGGGUACGGGCAGACUAGAGUGCGGUAGGGGAGAUUGGAAUUCCUGGUGUAGCGGUGGAAUGCGCAGAUAUCAGGAGGAACACCGAUGGCGAAGGCAGAUCUCUGGGCCGUAACUGACGCUGAGGAGCGAAAGGGUGGGGAGCAAACAGGCUUAGAUACCCGCGUAGUCCCUGUCUCUUAUAC
rnacentral:rRNA from 1 species